ensembl:lncRNA novel transcript, antisense to CCDC110
GACGCAGGGGGCCGCAGCGGGUGCUCAGCCCUAGGGCCGAGCGGGAGAUGUGCGGCGAGUGCAGAAGGGCGGACCCGGGAUGUCCCGGGUUUUCGAGCGGGGAGCCGCCUGCUGAAUGCCCUUCUGCUGCCCUCCGUUCCCGCGGCUCCCCUAGGAGCCCCGCCCCGUCCAACUCUUACCCGGGCUCAUCGCCGCGGCUCAUCUCUCUCGCAACCGCCGCCGCACGCACCCGCUCCGCCGCCCCGCGCAGGGCAUCCUGUCGCCAGAUUUGCCUAUUCUGGAUGUUUCCUAUUAAUGGAACCAUAAAAUACGUGGACCGACUGAUUUUAUUGAGAUAUGAUUUGCAUACCAUAAAAUUCAUCUUUUAAUGAUUGUUGUGGCUCUUACUAGAUCCCUUGCAUUUCCAUAUGAAUUUUAGGGUCAUCUUGUCAAUUUCUGCAAAAAUGGCAGCUGGAAUUUUGAGAGAGACAACAUUGAAUCUGUGCCUCAAAUUAGGAGUACGGCCACCCUAACAAUACAGGUGUCAGCGGCUGCUCACCAGAGCCAUCGUCCACCAUUCCCUGGAGCACUCUGAAGGAGCCCGACUGGCGAGGCUGUGUGGGCUCAUUCCGAUUGUCGUGGAGCAUCCGGUACACGUCCGACUCGGGGGGCACCGAGGCUGUGGGCUCGCUGAAACACAGGCACGGCGGGGAGCAUCGUCAGGUGCUGGGAGGCACCAGACGUGCAAGAGGCCAGAGACAUCAAUACUCAGCCAUUACUCUAUGCACAGCCACUCCUGAACAGAGGUCUAGUAUUUUCAAGUGAAUCUCUAGUAUAGUUAAAAGCAUAAUGUGAAUUCAAAUGGCUGCCUUGGAAAUGUCAUUGAACAACAAAUCGGGGAGUCACACCCACACUCCUCCACUUGGCAAAAUACUUUGGAAGGAAACUAAAAGAUAAUUGUCAGGAAAUAGUAAUUAAGAAGAACAAGACUUGAGUCUGAUGGAUACAUAAUGAUAGAUGUGAACAAAAUUAACUUUUCCCAGAGAAAAGGCAAUAUACACAUGACAGAAAGUGCAGCAGUGAGCACUCAGAU